rnacentral:lncRNA from 1 species
UCCCAAACCUUCCAAACACCCCUAAAACAUGCAUUAACUAUUCUACAACAUGCAACCAAGCACAUAGGGGUCUCAAACUAUCCUAAACCCCAACAACCCUACAUACAUCAUACAAAAACACACAUUUACAUAAAGGGGUAACAUAACCCGAAAAUAACCAAAAUCCUCACAUACUCUCUCCCAUCAUGCAUACUCUCUCCCAUAUGCUCAAGGGGCUUGAAAACUAACUUAAACCCCAACACAAACAUCACAAGAACAAACAUUAUCAUACAUUGGGCAUAAAACCCACAUAAACCCUAACAUGCAUAUCUACCCAUCAAAACCAUCUUAAAACUUCAUGAAACGUAAAGAAAAGCAUAGAUCCACACUUACCUCUUGAAGAUCGAGGAUUGGUG